CCCGGGGCGUCGAGGGCUACCUGGCCGCGACCGCGUGGGCCCCGCCACCGCCCGCAGCGCGGAGCCUCGGGAGGCGCCGCAGGGGGGACGGGGCGAGGGGAGGGAGCCCCUCUACCCCCGAAUGGGCGACGCAGGAGUCCAUCCUCCCAAGAACUUUCAGCGCCACCCCGCGUGUGCACGGACGCACCCAGGUGGUAGACGCCGACCUCCGGACGGAUGCCCUGUGACAUCCCCCGGCGGGGCUGGUCUGCCUCCCGCUCCGCACCUUCGAUCCGCCGCGGAGCCCUGCCUUCCAGAAUGGUCUCUCCUCUCGGGGACUAACGGUUGCGUGUCAAGCCCCUCCGGCCACAGACUGUUACUCCUGAGCUUCCUGUUAGCAUGUAUAGGAUCGUCUCCUUUUUCAUCGAAACGCACGCUCGUCACCCUACUGCUAGCCUUAACCUACAAUGAUUCCAUUUCAGCUGCCCUUGCCUGUGGGGAAAGCUUCCUGAACGUUGUUAUCUCAUUGCAAGCGAGGAGUCCGCUCCUUUAUGCAAAACGUUUAAAAGCCCUCUGGAUGAAGACAGCAAGUGUCCUGCCAAAUACAUUCUUCUAAUUCUUGUGAAAGUCAGAGUAAUAACAAAAAGAGACUGGAAGCUUCCCAAACAGGGGAAAUGGUGAACAAAUGCCAGGGUCAGGAGAGAGUCGAGUCUACUUAGGCCACUGAAGAACCAGCCUGGUGGAGGCAGACACUGAACGAGACGUUUGGAAAGACAGGGUGACGCCAGAUUCAGGCUACAGAUUGCUUACAAGACCAGGCCAAGACGUGUGCCUGAGCCACUCACGAGGCAACAAGAACUUAUAAAUGAUCAACUCUGACUGAUAAGAUUAAAAUGUUUUUAUUUUU
rnacentral:lncRNA from 12 species